CCCCCCCCCCCCCCCCCCCCCCCCCCCCCCCCCCCCCCCCCCCCCCCCCCCCCCCCCCCCCCCCCCCCCCCCCGCCCAACGCCCCGCCGGUAAGUGCAGCCCAGCACCGCGGGGAAGGGGGCGCGGAGCCUGGCACGGGGUCACAGCUACAUCCCCAAAGGAUCUGGGAGGGAGCGUGACGGCACGGCCGGAGAUUUCCAACCGAGGAGGGCUCUUCAAAAGUUCAAGGAUGUCUCGGACUUUUAUGAAAAAGCGAAACUGUGCGGCUGAAACAGUUAACAAUAAAACAGGGAGUUGGGGAGGAGCCGAGGAGCGGCUGUGCAGGUGCCGUCGGGGCCGCCCCAGUGCCCGGUUCCCGGAGCUCCCGUGUCCCCCCGCAGCAGCCGGAGCUGCCCCAGUGCCCGGUUCCCGGAGCUCCCGUGUCCCCCCGCAGGAGCCGGAGCUGCCCCAGUGCCCGGUUCCCGUGUCCCCCCGCAGCAGCCGGAGCUGCCCCAGUGCCCGGUUCCCGCGUCCCCCCGCAGCAGCCGGGGCCGCCCAGCCUCGCUGACACUGUCCGGGGAUGCCGGCUCGGUGUGCGACUGGGCUUUGCCUUCAUCCUUACUAAGAGAAGCUGCUGGUGGCAGGCGUUCAGCUCCUCCUUCCGAGAAGCCCAUAAAGUGCAGCUGAGAAUCAAACACUUGUGUCUGUGGCGCUGGAGGAAACUUUGAGUGGGAUGAUUUUUGAGUGGGAUGUGAUUUUGCCCUCUGGAUGCUUGAACGUGCCUGCCUGGCUGAUGGGCUCCCUCCUGUCCUUAAUGUCCCUCGGGCAAGCACUGGCUGUGUCAUUUUCUUCCAGUUUGUGCUGCACGGUGGCACUUAAUACCCAGUAGGGAAUGGAGAAAGUGCAUGAGGAUGCCAAGAGGUUCCCUCUAACACAGGUGCAGCUUUAUUAGCAUGCAUUGUAAUUGUCUGCACAGCUUUUCCUUCUCAUGUUUUUUUUUUUUUUUUUUCUGUCUAUCAAAGGCCUUUAUUAUCCUUGUCCCUUUUAAUUUGUCAGAGCAGGUAGAGCAAAGCUUUUGAGAGGUGUAAAAGUCUUGGUACAGAGUCUUGCCCAGACAUCUGAAGAGAUCCUGAGAAUGAGCUGAUGGGGCAAAAUGCAACAGAAGACCCUGAGCUUCUGUUUCAGGACACACAAAAUGUGUGUUGGGGUUUUGAU
rnacentral:lncRNA from 12 species